UUUCGGUUGAAUGGACUUGGGAGACUGAUAGCUCGCAAAACCUUUACAAAGUGAGUGGUAUUGUCUUUAAGGCAGGUCUCUGAAGUUUGUUUUGCUCCUUUCACUGUAGUUUCGUGUAUCAAUCAUCGAGAUAUAACUAUAUACUCGACGACGACGACGACAACAACAACAACAUACCCAAUGUAAUCUUACAAGUGGGGUCCGAGGAGGGUGGUGUGCACGCAACCUUACCUUUGCCUUGUGAAGGAAAAUGUAGUUCUAUAGCUGAGGAAGACCAGGAACGCUGGAGCACUUUACGCUAUGUCACAAGUCCAAUUCUAGAGGAGAAUAAUCUAGUUUGACUCAAGUUUGUAAAUUUUGUUUUAAAAUUUUCUUUAAGGGGGUGAGAAAUUUUGAAUAAAAUUUGUGGGAGAUUGCUAAUUCCUAUAGCCCUAAAACUUGUUCGUGUUGAUUGUAGUUGGUAAACUCGUGGACCCUACGCUGGAACUUCAAUAUAUCCAAACUAGUAUAAAAGUGAUAGACCUUUAACCCAAA